AAGAUAAAGCUCUCCUUUCUCUAUAAAAGCCCUCUCCUUCAUAAGAAAAAUAAAAAAAGCAAUUCAAGUCUAGAUCAUUUUCAUUUCUAGUUAAUCAUUAAUGUUUGGAAGCCAUUUUGUUGCAACUUAAAUUUAAGAACCCAAAGGUUAAAGUCCAAUGCUUAGAAAAAAAAUCGUGGGAAAAGGAAAUGGGUAAGGAAAGCACCCCAAAGGAAAACAAACCCAAGGGAACUAAAAAAAGAAGAAGAAGAAAG
rnacentral:lncRNA from 1 species